CUACGGGAGGCUGCAGUAAGGAAUAUUGCGCAAUGGAGGCAACUCUGACGCAGCCAUGCCGCGUGCAGGACUGAAGGCCUUAUGGGUCGUAAACUGCUUUUAUUUAGGAAUAAACUCUUGUACGUGUACGAGACUGAAGGUACUAAAUGAAUAAGCACCGGCUAACUCCGUGCCAGCAGCCGCGGUAAUACGGAGGGUGCAAGCGUUAUCCGGAUUUAUUGGGUUUAAAGGGUGCGCAGGCGGACUAUUAAGUCAGAGGUGAAAUCCCGGAGCUCAACUUCGGAACUGCCUUUGAUACUGGUAGUCUUGAAUACGGUUGAAGUAGGCGGAAUGUAGCAUGUAGCGGUGAAAUGCAUAGAGAUGCUACAGAACACCGAUCGCGAAGGCAGCUUACUAAGCCGAUAUUGACGCUCAGGCGCGAAAGCGUGGGGAGCGAACAGGAUUAGAUACCCUAGUAGUC
rnacentral:rRNA from 1 species